rnacentral:rRNA from 1 species
GCCUAGGAAUCUGCCUGGUAGUGGGGGACGAACGUUUCGAAAGGAACGCUAAUACCGCAUACGUCCUACGGGAGAAAGCAGGGACCUUCGGGCCUUGCGCUAUCAGAUGAGCCUAGGUCGGAUUAGCUAGUUGGUGAGGUAAUGGCUCACCAAGGCGACGAUCCGUAACUGGUCUGAGAGGAUGAUCAGUCACACUGGAACUGAGACACGGUCCAGACUCCUACGGGAGGCAGCAGCU